rfam:Thermacetogenium phaeum DSM 12270, complete genome.
AUGCAAGCUAGGAAGGGCAUAUGGUGGAUGCCUAGGCGUCAGGGGCUGAAGAAGGGCGUGGCAAGCUGCGAAAAGCCUCGGGUAGCCGCAAGCGGGCGUAGAUCCGGGGAUACCCGAAUGGGGGAACCUGGCCGGGAUAAUACCCGGUCAUCCUGUACUGAACACAUAAGUACAGGAGAGCAACCGGGGGAACUGAAACAUCUUAGUACCCCGAGGAAAAGAAAUCAAAAGAGAUUCCCUGAGUAGCGGCGAGCGAAAGGGGAAGAGCCCAAACCCUGCUCGUGGAGAAGGCUGUACCCGUUGCGGGCAGGGGGUAGGGGGGCGUACGAGGGGGCAGGUACAGCUGCUCCGGUGAGGAAAAGGGCUGGCUCUUAGGAGAAGUGGUCUGGAAAGGCCUGCCGGAGAGAGUAAAAGCCUCGUAUCCGAAAAGGGCGGCACUCACCUGGUACGACCCCAAGUACCGCGGGGCACGGGGAAUCCUGCGGGAAUCAGGGAGGACCACCUUCCAAGGCUAAAUACCACCUGGCGACCGAUAGUGAACCAGUACCGUGAGGGAAAGGUGAAAAGCACCCCGGGAGGGGAGUGAAAGAGAACCUGAAACCAUAUGCCUACAAGCAGUCAGAGCCGGGGUUGAACCUGGUGAUGGCGUACUUUUUGUAGAACGGACCGGCGAGUUGCGUAGUGCAGCGAGGUUAAGGCUUUAAGGAGCCGGAGCCGGAGCGAAAGCGAGUCUGAAGAGGGCGAUAAGUUGCACUAUGCAGACCCGAAACCGGGUGAGCUACCCAUGGGCAGGGUGAAGCGCGACUAACCUCGCGUGGAGGCCCGAACCGACCGUCGUUGAAAAGGCGGCGGAUGACCUGUGGGUAGGGGUGAAAAGCCAAGCGAACCCGGAGAUAGCUGGUUCUCCCCGAAAUAGCUUUAGGGCUAGCCUCAGGGGGUACCUUAUGGGGGUAGAGCACUGAUCAGGCUAGGGGCGUCAACCACGUUACCGAACCUUUUCAAACUCCGAAUACCAUAAGGGAUGGCCCUGGGAGUCAGACUAUGGGUGAGAAGAUUCAUAGUCGAGAGGGGAACAGCCCGGACCGUCGGCUAAGGUCCCGGAGUUCAGGCUAAGUGGAGAAGGAUGUGGGACUGCCGAGACAACCAGGAUGUUGGCUUAGAAGCAGCCAUCAUUUAAAGAGUGCGUAAUAGCUCACUGGUCGAGUGGUCUUGCGCCGAAAAUGUAACGGGGCUCAAGCCUGACACCGAAGCCGCGGAGUUGAGAUUACAUCUCAACUGGUAGGGGAGCGUUCCGGCGGCGUCGAAGGUUACCUGGGAGGGUAACUGGAGCGGCCGGAAGAGAGAAUGCCGGUAUGAGUAAGCGAGAAGGCAGGUGAGAAUCCUGUCCGCCGGAAGCCUAAGGGUUCCUGGGGAAGGCUCGUCCGCCCAGGGUAAGUCGGGACCUAAGCCGAGGCUGAAGAGCGUAGGUGAUGGGCAAUCGGUGGAGAUUCCGAUACCACCUGUGGGCCGUUAGGAGCGAAGGGGUGACACAGGAGGGUAGGCGCAGCGGGCUGUUGGUUGUGCCCGUCCAAGCCUGUAGGGAGGCUGGGGAGGCAAACCCCCCUGGUCGUAAUCCUGAGAGGCGAGAGCGAGGGAAAGAGAGUACCGAAGUGGCCGAUCCCACACUGGCUAGAAAAACCUCUAGUGAGGCCUGCGGGUGCCCGUACCGCAAACCGACACAGGUAGGCGAGGAGAGAAUCCUAAGGCGCGCGAGAGAACCCUCGUCAAGGAACUCGGCAAACUGACCCCGUAACCUUGGGAGAAGGGGUGCCCUAGUAGAGUGAAGGUACUAGCUACUGGAGCUUGAGGGGGUUGCAGAGGAGAGGCCCAAGCGACUGUUUACCAAAAACACAGGUCCCUGCCAAAGCGGAAGCUGACGUAUAGGGGCUGACGCCUGCCCGGUGCUGGAAGGUUAAGGGGAAGGGUGAGAGCUCUGAACCGAAGCCCCAGUAAACGGCGGCCGUAACUAUAACGGUCCUAAGGUAGCGAAAUUCCUUGUCGGGUAAGUUCCGACCUGCACGAAAGGCGUAACGACUUGGGCGCUGUCUCGACGAGGGGCUCGGUGAAAUUGUAGUACCCGUGAAGAUGCGGGUUACCUGCGACAGGACAGAAAGACCCCGUGGAGCUUUACUGUAGCCUGACAUUGGAUUUUGGCAUUUCCUGUACAGGAUAGGUGGGAGGCGGGGAACCCGGGCCGCCAGGUUUGGGGGAGCCGGCGUUGGGAUACCACCCUGGGAGUGCUGGAAUUCUAACCUUGCCCCGUGAGCCGGGGUAGGGACAGUGUCAGGUGGGCAGUUUGACUGGGGCGGUCGCCUCCCAAAAGGUAACGGAGGCGUCCAAAGGUUCCCUCGGCGUGGUUGGAAAUCACGCGUAGAGAGUGCAAAGGCAGAAGGGAGCUUGACUGUGAGAGGGACACCUCGAGCAGGUGCGAAAGCAGGGCUUAGUGAUCCGGCGGUACUGAGUGGAAAGGCCGUCGCUCAACGGAUAAAAGCUACCCCGGGGAUAACAGGCUUAUCUCCCCCAAGAGUCCACAUCGACGGGGAGGUUUGGCACCUCGAUGUCGGCUCAUCGCAUCCUGGGGCGGAAGUACGUCCCAAGGGUUGGGCUGUUCGCCCAUUAAAGCGGUACGUGAGCUGGGUUCAGAACGUCGUGAGACAGUUCGGUCCCUAUCCGUCGCAGGCGCAGGAAACUUGAGGGGAGCUGUCCCUAGUACGAGAGGACCGGGAUGGACAGACCGCUGGUGUACCAGCUGUUCCGCCAGGGGCACCGCUGGGUAGCCAAGUCUGGAACGGAUAAGCGCUGAAAGCAUCUAAGUGCGAAGCCGACCCCGAGAUAAGGUUUCCCACCCGGCGCUCAACUUAACCGAUCGAAGAGUGAGAAAGAGGCGGCAGACUAAGGAGCAGGAGUGAAGAAAAGGACGGGACAGCGGAAGGGACAGACAUCAUCCUCCAUCUCACCUGGUCGGUGAAGCUGAGUGUCGGGGUAAGGCCUCUGGGAGAUGACCAGGUAGAUAGGCCGGGAGUGUAAGAGGGGUAACCCUUUAAGCUGACCGGUACUAAUAGGCCGAGGGCUUGCAAAA